CCUGCCCCGGGAGGCAUUUCAGGUGUGGCUGCUGUGUCACUUGUGCGUCAGUAGGUGGCAGUGAGGAAAGAUGCUAUGUCUACACUCCCUGCUCUGGCCUGUGAACAUCUGAAUGAUUAGUAGCCUAACAAG